GCUGCUGUGGUGUAGUGGUUAUCACGUCAGUCUUACACACUGAAGGUCUCCGGUUCGAUCCCGGGUAGCAGCA
rnacentral:tRNA from 1 species